rnacentral:rRNA from 1 species
AUUGAACGCUGGCGGCAGGCCUAACACAUGCAAGUCGAACGGUAGCACAGAGAGCUUGCUCUCGGGUGACGAGUGGCGGACGGGUGAGUAACGUCUGGGAAACUGCCCGAUGGAGGGGGAUAACUACUGGAAACGGUAGCUAAUACCGCAUAACGUCGCAAGACCAAAGUGGGGGACCUUCGGGCCUCACACCAUCGGAUGUGCCCAGAUGGGAUUAGCUAGUAGGUGGGGUAAUGGCUCACCUAGGCGACGAUCCCUAGCUGGUCUGAGAGGAUGACCAGCCACACUGGAACUGAAACACGGUCCAGACUCCUACGGGAGGCAGCAGUGGGGAAUAUUGCACAAUGGGCGCAAGCCUGAUGUAGCCAUGCCGCGUGUAUGAAGAAGGCCUUCGGGUUGUAAAGUACUUUCAGCGGGGAGGAAGGCGGUGAAGUUAAUAACUUCACCGAUUGACGUUACCCGCAGAAGAAGCACCGGCUAACUCUGUGCCAGCCGCCGCGGUAA